GAUGAACGCUGGCGGCGUGCUUAACACAUGCAAGUCGAACGGGAAACCUUUUAUUGAAGCUUCGGCAGAUUUAGCUGGUUUCUAGUGGCGGACGGGGGAGUAACGCGUGGGUAACCUGCCUUAUACAGGGGGAUAACAGUCAGAAAUGGCUGCUAAUACCGCAUAAGCGCACAGAGCUGCAUGGCUCAGUGUGAAAAACUCCGGUGGUAUAAGAUGGACCCGCGUUGGAUUAGGUGGUUGGUGGGGUAACGGCCCACCAAGGCGACGAUCCAUAGCCGGCCUGGGAGGGUGACCGGCCACAUUGGGACUGCGACACGGCCCAGACUCCUACGGGAGGCAGCAGUGGGGAAUAUUGCACAAUGGGGGAAACCCUGAUGCAGCGACGCCGCGUGAAGGAAGAAGUAUCUAGGUAUGUAAACUUCUAUCAGCAGGGAAGAUAAUGACGGUACCUGACUAAGAAGCCCCGGCUAACUACGUG
rnacentral:rRNA from 1 species